CACCCCCGCUGCCUCCAGCCAGCCCAGCCCCCGGGGGGAGGUGUUAACACACCACUAUCGCCCCUUUCCCCAUCGGUGCCCCCUCCCCGGGUCUGUCUGUGGAGGCCUCGGGUGCGGAAAGGCCUCAAGCGCCCCGCGCUGCCCCCCCCCCCCCCCCCGACUCCCCCGGUGCUGUACAGGGGAGCGGGGGGUGUCACCGGGCUCCUUGCCAGGCCAUGAGGCGCGGGGGCCCCCCUGUGCCCCCCGUCCUGUGUCCCCGCUGCUGGGCACUUGCCACCUCACAGCCCCGCCAUGGCGCCCCGGGCCCGUGGGACUGCAGCCCCCCCACGCCCGGGCCUGGGGGCCGCUGCCCUCAGGCACAGCGAGACGUGGGGCGCCCUGAGGGACAAACGGGGGUUGCGCCCCCCAGCCGCCCGUGUCGGUGGGGACCCGCGGCUACCGCCGCCCCGGCCUGCCCCGCGGCCUGUCGCUUUAACGCCGGCUCCGCGCCGGGGCCGGCCCCCGCGCCGUCAGCGGGCAGGUGGGGUUGGCCCCGGCCCCCCGCUCCCCCCGCGCCCCCGGGCAGCCCCCCCGGCUGCGGCCGCAGGAAGGGGAAGUGGCGGGGCAGGACGCGGAACUGGGCCGCUGUGCGGAGGGUGCUGGGGGCGCCCAGGCUGCUGGCCGGGGAACGGGGCCUGGUCUGAGCUGGGACGGAACCCACCGGCCGGCCCAGGGACCCACCGGCCGGCCCAGGGACCCACCGGCCGGCCCGAGGACCCACCGACCGGCCCAGGGACCCACCGGCCGGCCCGAGGACCCACCGGCCGGCUCACAGAUCCACCAGCCAGCCCAGGGACAGCGAGCUGCCCCAUGGAAGGGGAAGAAGCAGUUGCUUGUCUCGCGGAGACCCCCCCGAUCAACAGGGACACCCAGGAACUCCCAAAAGAGGAUGAAAACAGAGCUGAGGGGGCAGCAGCCACAGAGGAGCUGCCUGCAGCCAGGGACACUGGGGACAGCGGUGCUCCCCUGGGGUGUCUGCGGCCAGACCAAGACAUGCCACACUUGGACCAUGGGGACGGUGGAGCGGACAUUCUCAUGAAGCCCUCGACUGCGUCGAUGGACAGGCAGAGGAGCACGGAGCUCUCGACCCUCGACAGUUUCCCCCUGAAGCACUCAAACACGCUGACAAACAGGCAGAGAGGCAACGAGGUCUCGGCUCUCCCAGCCACGCUGGACACACUGUCCAUUCACCAGCUUGCUGCCCAGGGUGAGCUCAGCCAGCUGAAGGAGCACCUUCGGAAAGGCGAGAACUUAGUAAAUAAACCUGAUGAGAGAGGUUUCACGCCGCUGAUCUGGGCUGCAGCCUUUGGAGAGAUCGAAACGGUCCGUCACCUGCUGGAAUGGGGCGCUGACCCCCACGCACUAGCGAAGGAGCGGGAGAGCGCCCUAUCCCUGGCCAGCAUGGGCGGCUACACCGACAUCGUGGUCAUGCUGCUGGAGAGGAACGUGGACAUCAACAUCUAUGACUGGAAUGGCGGCACUCCUCUGCUCUACGCCGUGCGUGGCAAUCACGUCAAGUGUGUCGAGGCCCUACUAGGGGAGCACCAUGCCCUGAUCUCCACUGCCUGCUUGCAGCUCGCGGCGCUGACCUGACCACAGAGGCAGAUUCCGGCUACACCCCGAUGGAUCUGGCCGUGGCACUGGGACACAAGAAAGUCCAACAGGUUAUCGAAAAUCACAUCCUCAAGCUAUUUCAGAAUAAGGAGCUGGAGUGAGGGGGUGGCUCACGCUGCACUGCUGCAGCACCAGCGCUUCUCCUGGCCGAUGCAGGGCUCUCCGCUGGGACCACCACCCAGCCGUCCCAAAACGGGCAGCGGCACAAUGGUUCAAGCAAGGAGCACAUGGAGGAAGCCAGGAACCGCCUGCCCUUGGAGGAUCUGUGCCUCUCCCAGAGGGUGGCAUGGCCACAGCACCUCACACCUGGGGACACUCCUCAGGGCAGCUGCAUUUCUGCCCUGUCCGGGCUUGGCUGCUUUGUGCGUGUGUGCAUUCAAGUAUUGCAUUAUUUGAAGUAAACUCUAAAGCAGC